AGAUCCGGGCCAAGUCAGAGUACUCCAAACUGUCUGCGACCUGGAGACAAUUACAGCGAUGGCCCUCCUCAACAAUCGGGCCAGCAGUUGAGUGUCAAAAUGCUGUCCCUUUUGGUCGCCCUGGAAACAAACCUGCUGGAACAGGAAAGCGCAUCCUUGACCGGAAAAAAGUUGAAGGAAUCCUAACGUAUGUCCUGAGAUGCGGUACCCUUCCUGAUUGGGACAAUAUUGAGGAGGCCAAGCUCAAGAAAGCUUUGGUAAACAAAUGUUGGGCCAGAGCAGGUUUUAAGUAGGCCCUGGUAACUGCCAAGUUCAUUCUGGGGUAGGAUGUUUCCUUUGUAAACAUGUUAAUAUUUUGGUCUGGGGUUGCACAGUAUAUAUUGUAUAAAAUUGCCAUAUGAUGUAGCUUUUAGUACCACGUUAUACUGUGACAAUGCAUAUUGAGCUGUGCUGUGUCUCGCAAAUUUGGCACCGAUGCAACCUCACUAACAAGCUAGCGGCUAAUAUCCCUUCACAGUGCAAAGCUGUUUCCAAAUUUAAAAAAAAUAAUACAACUGGAAAUGACGCAGUAUGUUACUGCUUACAUAAUCAGGUAUAUUAGUAGCUUUUGUAACCAAUUUCAAAAUGUUUCAAUGAUCAUUUAUGUACCAAAUGUUGUAUUGUUAUCUCAGGAGGCUGUUCUAUUGUUUUCAACAGUGUUUCUUAAUCACAGGGCUGGGGCCCACUGUUUGGCUGCGAGUACCCCUUGGGGGCCGCCAACAAAUAUCUGUUUCUUAGCUGUGGUCCGUCCAUAUGGGAUGCAAUGGUACUCAGUUUUAACACACUUUAGUGUAAGAUGACUAAUUCAGUGUUUGUAUUUGAGUGGACCCCAGACCCCUUUGUAGUGGAAAAGUUGGUUGGGCCCCAAGGUAAAAAAUGUUAAGUAUCCCUGGUUUUCAAUGUGUGAUUAUUUUUUGUAUGUAGACCAGUUCCAAACAGCCCGGUUACAAUUUUAUAAAUGUAUUUCCGUUUUUGCUUGGAAUAUUUAAAAAAUGGAAAAUGUUGUCAUUUACUCACCCUCUUACUGAGAUGAAGUCAGGUGGGUUUUUUUAACUACGGUACAUGGUUUGCUCAACAAGGAGUUAAAAAAACUACACCUGACUUUUUCACGUGUGGGGCGGUAUAGCUCGGUUGGUAGAGCGGCCGUGCCAGCAACUUGAGGGUUUCAGGUUCGAUUCCCGCUUCCACCAUUCUAGUCACUGCCGUUGUAUCCUUGGGCAAGAAACUUUACCCACCAGCUCCCAGUGCCACCCACACUGGUUUAAAUGUAACUUAGAUAUUGGGUUUCACUAUGUAAAGCGAUUUGAGUCACUAGAGAAAAGGGCUAUAUAAAUAUACUUCACAACAACAAAGUGAGUACUUGGGGUUAAAUUAAUUUAUAUUUGUAUUUUUUGUAUAUUGUUUUCUAUGUUGUUUUAAUUAUUGUGAAUGUCAAUAUGUACAUUAUGUUUGUAAUAAUUAACUACAUUUAAAUUGUUGUAUUUAAUCUAUUUUUAUAUCUUAUGUUUUGUAUUUUUGUAUAGCCAAAUAAAGUUAUACACCUUUCAAUAUUUGAGUAUUUUUUUUACUGUUAUUUCUAAUUAAGUCAGAUAAUUGAACUCUCAAUUUGUUCUCAUU